AUACGAAGGGUGCAAGCGUUAAUCGGAAUUACUGGGCGUAAAGCGCGCGUAGGUGGUUUUGUAAGUUGGAGGUGAAAGCCCCGGGCUCAACCUGGGAAUUGCCUCCAAAACUGCAUGACUAGAGUACGGUAGAGGGUAGUGGAAUUUCCUGUGUAGCGGUGAAAUGCGUAGAUAUAGGAAGGAACACCAGUGGCGAAGGCGACUACCGGGACUGAUACUGACACUGGGGUGCGAAAGCGUGGGGAGCAAACAGGAUUAGAUACCCUGGUAGUCCACGCCGUAAACGAUGUCAACUAGCCGUUGGGAUCCUUGAGAUCUUAGUGGCGCAGCUAACGCAUUAAGUUGACCGCCUGGGGAGUACGGCCGCAAGGUUAAAACUCAAAUGAAUUGACGGGG
rnacentral:rRNA from 1 species